rnacentral:rRNA from 1 species
CNGGAAUAAAGUUAGGCACGUGUGCCUUUUUGUAUGUACCGUAUGAGUAAGGAUCGGCUAACUCCGUGCCAGCAGCCGCGGUAAUACGGAGGAUCCGAGCGUUAUCCGGAUUUAUUGGGUUUAAAGGGAGCGUAGGCGGAUGCUUAAGUCAGUUGUGAAAGUUUGCGGCUCAACCGUAAAAUUGCAGUUGAUACUGGGUGUCUUGAGUACAGUAGAGGCAGGCGGAAUUCGUGGUGUAGCGGUGAAAUGCUUAGAUAUCACGAAGAACUCCGAUUGCGAAGGCAGCUUGCUGGACUGUAACUGACGCUGAUGCUCGAAAGUGUGGGUAUCAAACAGGAUUAGAUACCCUGGUAGUCCACACAGUAAACGAUGAAUACUCGCUGUUUGCGAUAUACAGUAAGCGGCCAAGCGAAAGCGUUAAGUAUUCCACCUGGGGAGUACGCCGGCAACGGUGAAACUCAAAGGAAUUGACGGGGGCCCGCACAAGCGGAGGAACAUGUGGUUUAAUUCGAUGAUACGCGAGGAACCUUACCCGGGCUUAAAUUGCAGAUGAAUGUUCUGGAAACAGAUCAGCCGCAAGGCAUUUGUGAAGGUGCUGCAUGGUUGUCGUCAGCUCGUGCCGUGAGGUGUCGGCUUAAGUGCCAUAACGAGCGCAACCCUUAUCGAUAGUUACUAUCAGGUUAUGCUGGGGACUCUGUCGAGACUGCCGUCGUAAGAUGUGAGGAAGGUGGA